UUAAGCGACUAAGCGUACACGGUGGAUGCCCUGGCAGUCAGAGGCGAUGAAGGACGUGCUAAUCUGCGAAAAGCGUCGGUAAGGUGAUAUGAACCGUUACAGCCGGCGAUGUCCGAAUGGGGAAACCCAGUGCAAUUCGUUGCACUAUCGUUUGAUGAAUACAUAGUCAAACGAGGCGAACCGGGGGAACUGAAACAUCUAAGUACCCCGAGGAAAAGAAAUCAACCGAGAUUCCCCCAGUAGCGGCGAGCGAACGGGGAGCAGCCCGGAGUCUGAAUCAGCUUGUGUGUUAGUGGAAGCGUCUGGAAAGUCGCAGGGUACAGGGUGAUACUCCCGUACACUAAAACACACAGGCUGUGAACUCGAAGAGUAGGGCGGGACACGUGGUAUCCUGUCUGAAUAUGGGGGGACCAUCCUCCAAGGCUAAAUACUCCUGACUGACCGAUAGUGAACCAGUACCGUGAGGGAAAGGCGAAAAGAACCCCGGCGAGGGGAGUGAAAAAGAACCUGAAACCGUGUACGUACAAGCAGUAGGAGCCCACUAGUUGGGUGACUGCGUACCUUUUGUAUAAUGGGUCAGCGACUUAUAUUCUGUAGCAAGGUUAACCGUAUAGGGGAGCCGCAGGGAAACCGAGUCUUAACUGGGCGUUAAGUUGCAGGGUAUAGACCCGAAACCCGGUGAUCUAGCCAUGGGCAGGUUGAAGGUUGGGUAACACUAACUGGAGGACCGAACCGACUAAUGUUGAAAAAUUAGCGGAUGACUUGUGGCUGGGGGUGAAAGGCCAAUCAAACCGGGAGAUAGCUGGUUCUCCCCGAAAGCUAUUUAGGUAGCGCCUCGUGAACUCAUCUUCGGGGGUAGAGCACUGUUUCGGCUAGGGGGUCAUCCCGACUUACCAACCCGAUGCAAACUACGAAUACCGAAGAAUGUUAUCACGGGAGACACACGGCGGGUGCUAACGUCCGUCGUGAAGAGGGAAACAACCCAGACCGCCAGCUAAGGUCCCAAAGUCAUGGUUAAGUGGGAAACGAUGUGGGAAGGCCCAGACAGCCAGGAUGUUGGCUUAGAAGCAGCCAUCAUUUAAAGAAAGCGUAAUAGCUCACUGGUCGAGUCGGCCUGCGCGGAAGAUGUAACGGGGCUAAACCAUGCACCGAAGCUGCGGCAGCGACACUAUGUGUUGUUGGGUAGGGGAGCGUUCUGUAAGCCGUUGAAGGUGGCCUGUGAGGGUUGCUGGAGGUAUCAGAAGUGCGAAUGCUGACAUAAGUAACGAUAAUGCGGGUGAAAAACCCGCACGCCGGAAGACCAAGGGUUCCUGUCCAACGUUAAUCGGGGCAGGGUGAGUCGACCCCUAAGGCGAGGCCGAAAGGCGUAGUCGAUGGGAAACAGGUUAAUAUUCCUGUACUUGGUGUUACUGCGAAGGGGGGACGGAGAAGGCUAUGUUGGCCGGGCGACGGUUGUCCCGGUUUAAGCAUGUAGGCGGAUGUUCCAGGUAAAUCCGGAACGUCACUAACGCUGAGGUGUGAUGACGAGGCACUACGGUGCUGAAGUGACAAAUGCCCUGCUUCCAGGAAAAGCCUCUAAGCAUCAGGUAACAUCAAAUCGUACCCCAAACCGACACAGGUGGUCAGGUAGAGAAUACCAAGGCGCUUGAGAGAACUCGGGUGAAGGAACUAGGCAAAAUGGUGCCGUAACUUCGGGAGAAGGCACGCUGAUGGUAGGUGAAGUGACUUGCUCAUGGAGCUGAAAUCAGUCGAAGAUACCAGCUGGCUGCAACUGUUUAUUAAAAACACAGCACUGUGCAAACACGAAAGUGGACGUAUACGGUGUGACGCCUGCCCGGUGCCGGAAGGUUAAUUGAUGGGGUUAUCCUCGCGGAGAAGCUCUUGAUCGAAGCCCCGGUAAACGGCGGCCGUAACUAUAACGGUCCUAAGGUAGCGAAAUUCCUUGUCGGGUAAGUUCCGACCUGCACGAAUGGCGUAAUGAUGGCCAGGCUGUCUCCACCCGAGACUCAGUGAAAUUGAACUCGCUGUGAAGAUGCAGUGUACCCGCGGCAAGACGGAAAGACCCCGUGAACCUUUACUAUAGCUUGACACUGAACACUGGUCCUUGAUGUGUAGGAUAGGUGGGAGGCUUUGAAGUGUGGACGCCAGUCUGCAUGGAGCCGUCCUUGAAAUACCACCCUUUAAUGGCUGGUGUUCUAACGUGGGCCCGUGAUCCGGGUUGCGGACAGUGUCUGGUGGGUAGUUUGACUGGGGCGGUCUCCUCCUAAAGAGUAACGGAGGAGCACGAAGGUCAGCUAAUCCUGGUCGGACAUCAGGAGGUUAGUGCAAUGGCAUAAGCUGGCUUGACUGCGAGCGUGACGGCGCGAGCAGGUGCGAAAGCAGGUCAUAGUGAUCCGGUGGUUCUGAAUGGAAGGGCCAUCGCUCAACGGAUAAAAGGUACUCCGGGGAUAACAGGCUGAUACCGCCCAAGAGUUCAUAUCGACGGCGGUGUUUGGCACCUCGAUGUCGGCUCAUCACAUCCUGGGGCUGAAGUAGGUCCCAAGGGUAUGGCUGUUCGCCAUUUAAAGUGGUACGCGAGCUGGGUUUAGAACGUCGUGAGACAGUUCGGUCCCUAUCUGCCGUGGGCGCUGGAGAAUUGAGGGGGGCUGCUCCUAGUACGAGAGGACCGGAGUGGACGCAUCACUGGUGUUCGGGUUGUCAUGCCAAUGGCAUUGCCCGGUAGCUAAAUGCGGAAGAGAUAAGUGCUGAAAGCAUCUAAGCACGAAACUUGCCCCGAGAUGAGUUCUCCCUGACCCUUUAAGGGUCCUGAAGGAACGUUGAAGACGACGACGUUGAUAGGCCGGGUGUGUAAGCGCAGCGAUGCGUUGAGCUAACCGGUACUAAUGAACCGUGAGGCUUAACCUU
rnacentral:rRNA from 1 species